rnacentral:rRNA from 1 species
CCUACGGGGGGCAGCAGUGGGGGAUAUUGGACAAUGGGGGGAACCCUGAUCCAGCGACGCCGCGUGAGUGAAGAAGUAUCUCGGUAUGUAAAGCUCUAUCAGCAGGGAAGAAAGAAAUGACGGUACCUGAGUAAGAAGCCCCGGCUAACUACGUGCCAGCAGCCGCGGUAAUACGUUGGGUGCGAGCGUUAAUCGGAAUUACUGGGCGUAAAGGGUGUGCAGGCGGCUGAGUAAGACAGAUGUGAAAUCCCCGGGCUUAACCUGGGAACCGCAUAUGUGACUGCUUGGCUAGAGUGCGUCAGAGG